CUUCUUCUCCACAGGCAGCGCCAGGUGAAUUCACUCUGCAAUCAAGUCUCCCAUAAAACCACUGGUUUCUCUCCUGCUCAUCGCCAGAUUGUUUCGUCAGUCAACAUGAUUGCUGUGCUCGUUGUACAGACUCGUGCUUUGUUUCCUCCCUGCUUGCCAGUGGACCUGCCUGCUACCAGCUUCCCUGUGCUCUCCAUCUGCACUGCCAUUGUCCUGCACGGACCUCACGUCACGACGCUCACAUCCACGCACUCACCGGUGACUUCGCCUACCAUGCCAGGACCCUGGGACUUCGCACACCCCUUCACUUGCACCUGUUUUUGCUCCUCCGUUGAACAUUAAAGAACUAUUGUUACACUGUUAACCAGAGUCGAGUCGUGCAUUUGGGUCCUAAUCCAACGCAAACCGUAACAGGGAGAGUCUGGAUUCUAAAUGUAGGUAUCUCCCCUUCCUGUUUCUGUUCUUGAUAUCUGUUUACAGAGUAACAGAAUGGUGUGAACAUUUUAACAGUUGUGGGCCAACUGGGCCAGCAAGGCUUGUUGCAUCAUCAGAAGAUACAUUUCAUUUUUAAUAUGUUUAUUUAUUAAUAAAUACAUCAAAUUAUUAAA